CAGCGUCUGACAUUUAUUGAAAAUAAGGAAAAGACGUUUGUCCAGGUAGUGUAGAAGAGCUGGGCAGAGUGCAGGGGUUACUGUGUGGAACAAAAGGCACACAUCAGAGAGACAGCUGCACAUCCAGAAGAGAAGUGGAUGCUGGGCGAAACGAACAGGUCCACAGGAGACAAUGAGUGACUCGACUUGGCUGCCAGGCACCCCGGGACCUGGCGGCCACCUGGCAGGAGCGGAAGAUGUCUCUGGGAGGAGGGAGGGACUGGGUCCCGCCGAAGGUGAAAGGCUGGCCGGCCCCUCCAGGGCGGUGGCGAGCUGUUGGAAGCAUUGUCCAGAGGCUGUGGCCAGCUCAGACACCUCCCGGGCGAGUCCAGACCGCUGAAGGCUGCAGGCUGUCGGCGGGAUGCGGUGGAUGGCGGUGGCGGUGGCGGUGGCGGUGGCAGCAGCAGCGCAGGUCUCUGGGCACCUGCAUGCGGGCCUGGGAGUCUGGCAGAGGGCGGGCGGUUGGCAGCGGCCGGGCUGAGGGUGGUCUGUCCGGUGUGUAACAGGAGCCCGGCUUGCAGCUGGAGCGCACGACCGAGUCCAAGUGUGCAGGGGAGGGGCCGGGCUGGCCCGAGAGGGAGAGGGCGGCGGCCGCUCCAGAGCCAGGCCCGGCGGCGGCAGCAGCGGGAACCUGGAGCGCUAUUCCUGGAACAAAGGCAAGCACUACGCGGGAGGGGACACGAGCGCGGGGGAGGCCGGGAGCCCCUCGGGCCUGGGGGCGGGUGCUCGGGGGAGGGUCCGCCGCGCCAGUCGCCGCCGCCCAGAUCGCCACAGGCGGCGUCCUCCCGCCGCGCCUCCCCCGUCCCUCACCUUCGGGUCGCCGCGAUCUCCCCCGCGCUCGUGUCCCCUCCCGCGUAGUGCUUGCCUUUGUUCCAGGAAUAGCGCUCCAGGUUCCCGCUGCUGCCGCCGCCGGGCCUGGCUCUGGAGCGGCCGCCGCCCUCUCCCUCUCGGGCCAGCCCGGCCCCUCCCCUGCACACUUGGACUCGGUCGUGCGCUCCAGCUGCAAGCCGGGCUCCUGUUACACACCGGACAGACCACCCUCAGCCCGGCCGCUGCCAACCGCCCGCCCUCUGCCAGACUCCCAGGCCCGCAUGCAGGUGCCCAGAGACCUGCGCUGCUGCUGCCACCGCCACCGCCACCGCCACCGCCAUCCACCGCAUCCCGCCGACAGCCUGCAGCCUUCAGCGGUCUGGACUCGCCCGGGAGGUGUCUGAGCUGGCCACAGCCUCUGGACAAUGCUUCCAACAGCUCGCCACCGCCCUGGAGGGGCCGGCCAGCCUUUCACCUUCGGCGGGACCCAGUCCCUCCCUCCUCCCAGAGACAUCUUCCGCUCCUGCCAGGUGGCCGCCAGGUCCCGGGGUGCCUGGCAGCCAAGUCGAGUCACUCAUUGUCUCCUGUGGACCUGUUCGUUUCGCCCAGCAUCCACUUCUCUUCUGGAUGUGCAGCUGUCUCUCUGAUGUGUGCCUUUUGUUCCACACAGUAACCCCUGCACUCUGCCCAGCUCUUCUACACUACCUGGACAAACGUCUUUUCCUUAUUUUCAAUAAAUGUCAG
ensembl:lncRNA